GACGAACGCUGGCGGCGUGCUUAACACAUGCAAGUCGAACGGAAAGGCCCUGAUUUUGUGGGGUGCUCGAGUGGCGAUAGGGUGCGUAACACGUGAGUAACCUGCUCUACACUUUGGGAUAACUUCAGGAAACUGGGGCUACUCCCGGACAGCAGACCCCGCUGCAUGGUGGGGGUUGGAACGUUUCGGCGGUUGGGGAUGGACUCGCGGCUUAUCGGCUUGUUGGUGGGGUAGUGGCUUGCCCACGCAUUGACGGGUAGCCGGCCUGGGAGGGUGACUGGCCUCAUGGGGACUAAGGUACGGCCCAGACUGCUACGUGAGGCAGCAGGCGGGAAUAUUGCACAACGGUCGGGAGCCUGAUGCAGCGACGCCCCGGGCGGGAUGACGGCCUUCUGGUAGUAAACCGCUUUCGCCUGUGACGAAGCGGUAGUGACGGUAAUGAGUAAAGAAGCACCGGCUAACUACGUG
rnacentral:rRNA from 1 species